rnacentral:tRNA from 1 species
CAGGGAGACAAACCUGAUCGUGAUGUCUGAGUAAAUUUAAUCUCAGGCCAUGAUCCUGUCACCUUAGGUCGAUCGGUACCUCAAGGAGCGGAUGGGAGAAGCUGAGCAAUCAGUGGGGACCCAAUUUGCUUUUUCAGUUUCUAAACGUUGUCUCGGUCACCCCGUAGCUCCUGGGCCAUUAGCUCAGGUGGUUAGAGCGCACCCCUGAUAAGGGUGAGGUCCCUGGUUCAAGUCCAGGAUGGCCCAUUCGUGUUUGGGGGUUUAGCUCAGUUGGUAGAGCGCCUGCUUUGCAAGCAGGAUGUCAGCGGUUCGAGUCCGCUAACCUCCAUAUCAACAGAACCCUACAAGCGUAAGCAAGUGAGCUGGUGGGAGUGAACCAGACAGGGAAGGAGAGAAUGGAUCCAAGCCAUUGUGAUCCAUCAGCUGAGGAUGACUCCAGCCUUCAGGAUUAGGGCGCAAAGCAGCGCACCAGUUCAUGCCGUAUCGCAAUGAAGCGGUAUGAAUGAAAAGAUCUUGAAUGCUGGACUCACAGCAGUGAACGCGAGUUGACUGUUGAGAAGUUCAGUGAAGAACCUUGACAACUGCAUAGGUGAGUCUGGAAAGAAAGCAUCUCAUGGAUGUCCAGUGAAAGCUGGAGAUUCUAUUGAGUUUAGAGCCGAGACUUUCCAGUGUUCUUCCAAGUAACUAGCCAAUCCAGCUAGGGAAAGGGAGUUUGAUUGUGGCAUUCAAACCACGAGCCACUCGACUGAGAAACUGCCAAAAGCAGGGAUUCAGAGAGGUGAGUGAGCAGGUGAAUCCGCGAGAAUAGGCCUCAACAGCCUGAAGCACUGGGAAGGAAAUU